rnacentral:lncRNA from 1 species
AUUCAAAAAGGGUUUCCAGCUUGAAUAUAUAUAUAGAAGACGGCAGUUUUCUUGGAGCAAGGGAGGCUAAAAGAAAAGGAGUUGAGGGAGAUUGUACACGUAGAGAGAGCCGGCUAAGGGAAAACAUUGGAUUACCAAUACAAUUGGGUGGCUGAAUUUGAUAAAAAAAAAGGGGCUGGAAUUGCACAAGUUAAAGCAUUAAAGUUGAUGUGAGGAUUAUAAAAUCAAGCAUUAGCAGCCAAUUUGGGGAUUGAUUAUUGUACACGUAUAUAGGCGGCUGGAAUUGAUUUUAUAUACACAGAUAGUAGCCUCCUGGAGUUGAUAUAUACACACAUACACGCAGAGAGAAGCAGCCAAGAUUAUUAGAUUAGGCACAAAACAAAAGCCGAGUUGCUGGGAAUUGGACUACAAAAAAGUAGGCUGCUGUAGAAAUCAUAUAUAAAUGCCAACAGAAAACGGACGGUGGGGGGGGGGGGGGGGGGGGGGGGGGGACAGAAACUGAAGGAUAAAAAGCGGUAGCUUGUGGAGAAAAGUGGCAGAAACUGAAAGCGAUUUCGGCUGAUUUGGCGAGUUGUUUUGGAGUCAAAAAUUUCAGUUGGUUGCUGCAAAUAAAGUCAGCAGUUGGCUGGAGAAAAACAUAGAAGAAAAGCGCAAAAAAAUAUAUACAAAUUGGCGGCUGAUUACAUGAAUUAAUUUGGAACCGACGCAGAUUGAGGUGGCAGCUUUGGAAGGAAUUUGGAAAUCAUUCACGUUCCGUCAAUUACUCGGUGAUGUUGCUCCAACUUUAUUUAUUUAAUUCCUUGACGUUAAAUUCGCUUAAUUGUUUGGGUGUUUACUAUGGUUUAACUUGUUUUUCAAUUACUUGGCCAAUAAUUGAAUUGUUUGUGGAUUUUAUUGUCAUCGAGAGAGAUAAUAGGAUCUUUAGCUCCUAAUAAUAGACGACGUGAGAUUCGAUAGAUAAUAGAGAUAUACCUCGAUGCUUUACAUGGUUGUUAAAGAUGUUCUAGCUCGUUAAUAUUUUUUUAGACGUUCGUAUUUUUCAUAGAGAUAUAGUAAAAUCAAGUGUAGGAUUAGAUUUAAUUACUAUCGAAAUAGGCUUUUAAAUAAAAUAGGAACAUUGACCAACAAGCAUGAUUUCAAAUUGUCAGUUUAAAUUAUCGAACUAAAAUGGAGUAGCAAAGAGGAUUCCACAUCUUAGUAAUACUUCUCGCAAAUUUGAUAAACUUUUUCUUUGCUUUCUAUUUAAUUGAUAGAUUUAAUAAAGUUAGUUACAACUCGACCUUGCUAUUCGAAUAAGGGAAUUAUUAGCUUUAACUCGAUCAAACAUAUAGUCAUCGUGGGUUCGACACUUUACACACCACUUUAUUAUCUGUUUACGAUCUCGUUCACUUGUGGGUAAUCAAACGCAUAAGUGUUUCCUCAUAGGAGCAUCCACAAAUUUGAUCAAUUAUUCUUCUUGCUUUGUCAGCCGAUAGAGAUAUAUGUCGACCUAAAGCGUAUACUUAUGUUUUUUUUCUUUCGCAUAAGGUUUACCUUGUCGCGCGAAAUAGCAAUAGAGCUUUUCCAGACAUUUGUAAUUCGUGGCUGCCAUAGGAGCACCAAAUAAAAAAAAAAAAAAAAAAGUUAAUAAGGAAAAGGAGAAACUUCUAAAAACUUCAGCUUCAAAUAAUAUUUAGCAGCUGAAAAAAGACACUGCAUGAUUGAAAACUAUGUACAUUGAGAUAAAGACUAAAGUAACUUACGGAAAAUUAAAGUUAGGAUCCCCAUAGAUAUUGACAUUCGGAUACUACAACAAAGUUUACUCUUUAAGGUGUGCAAAGUUAUUUACGACGUAUAGGCUCAUGCCAUAGAAAGUCAUGCCGUAAAUACUAGCAUCCUUUUACGGCAUGCAAUGAAAAACAUGCCAUUAAUAUAUUUUUCACGGCGUGCACUUGCAUGCUAUAAAUACUCAACUCUUUUAUGGCGUGCACUUACAUGCCGUAAAUGUGAAUUUCAUUUGUUAAAAAUAUUUAUUUAUUUAUUUACCAACAAGCUUAUAAUAAUUAAUAAUUAAAAGGACUAUAUAUACUAACACAUAUAAUAUAAUCAUGUUUUGCAUAAUUUCAAUGAAUAAAAAUAUUAAGUGCUAUCAAAUACAAUAUUCAAAAAUGUAGAGAACAUCAUUAGCUUAGUCAAAAAGUCGAUAUCAAUAUACCAAAAGUAUCGAUUACAACUCCAAAAAUAACUUAUUAAAAUAGUACAAAAUAUUCGACCCAUAUUGAAGACAUCCCACAAUCAUGGUGAUCUUCUGUUGGCAAGCAAGCAUUUGGACCAGAUUUGUAGCUUGUAACAUGGUCAACGGAUACCGAAUUGCUACAUGCCAUAUGCUUUUUUUUAGUCUGUGAGACUGAAUAGUCCUGGAACCAAAAAUAAAGAGGAAAAGUAAUUAAUCAUGGUGUACCUUUAUGAAAUAAAUACCAAGUAACAAACAUCAAUUUCAUUUCACUUGGCCUGGUGUAUAUGGCUACUGAAAUUUAUGAGUAAGGUCCUCUUUGUUAUGGUUCUUGUCCAAAAUUUAAGAGUAAACAACAAAACAAGUAAAAUAAGAUAAAAAAAUUGCUAGAAGAGCAAACUAGACAUACCCAAGUCAUGGCUACUUGUGCUUUUGACUCCAUUACUUGUGCAACUUCUUGGACUUCAUGAACCAAUCCAAUUUCAAGUAAUGAAAGAAUAUGCAUCUACGUUAUUUAACUAACAGCAACUAAAAAGAAAAAUAAAAACCAGGACAAUGUGACUCAAAACCAUAGCCGAAGGUUAACCACAAGACAUCAUAGAUCAAUUUAUAAAGAAACUAGACUAGAUAAAUGGUGGCAACGAGAAUUAAUAUUCUUUAGUCACUAUCAUAAACAAAAGGUCCAUUUGUGAAAAUAACGAGACCAUAAAAUUCAUAAGAAUGAUAGCUAGCAAUUUAUAAAAUUAUAUUAACGACUACGAACUUAAAGGGGGAAUGAGAACCAAAAAGGCUAGUCUCAAAACCCAGUUACAGGAAAUUUGGAGCAGUGGUGAGAAGAGAUGUGUUUAGAGCCACAUUUUUCCUACCUCUUAGUAAAUGAAAAGAAUAUUUUGUAAUUAAGUUCAGAGACCAUAUAUACCAACAAGGCAUUUAUUUAAGAAUAAAAUUCCAAUCCAACAUUUUGGCUGCAACACAACUAGAAAAAAGUUUAGUCAAAAUGUGUGAAGAUCAUAGUAGACCUUGUUCUGAACCCGAUUGGUCUGAUACUUCCCUCCAACUUCAUUUGGUCCAUAGUUCAUUCCAUUGUAUGCCACUGCUAGAAAUGGUCAAUGAAUACAUUACCGUAAAGAAGCAAUUGAAAUUGAAAACGAAGCACGAACUUUCCAAAACAAUUUCCUAUAAACACCAUUGAAAUUGCAAAAACUAUGAAGCAUAAACAUCGAUGAAAUAACUCCAACAUAACAUGCAAAACUUCUGCAAAAAUUUAUAGGCUAAAAAAUCUAACAUGAGCAUAAAUUAAUGAAUUCACCAAUCUCUGCAAUUAUCUAUAAUUUAAGAUCAUCUCAUAUUCCCAUUUUAUGAAUGAGAAUAGUCCCUCCUUUAGCAAAAGGCAUUUUAUCUCCAAGCGUUUAAAACAAGUUAUACAAGUCAUACCCGAGACUUUCCAAAGUACAUUCCCAAUAGUUACUAUACCAUGCACAGAAUGAACUGGUGGUGCAGGAACUCUGCUUUCACCAGAUUUAAAUGAAAAAUCACUUCAAAAUAUAUAGAAUAGAGAUAAGAAUGAGAAUACAUAGGGAAAGCCACUAGAGUAGAAGAAAAGCCUAUCUAGUCUCACAAAGAUAAGAUUAUUCAAUUUUGUUGACUUAAACUUCCUAACAUCCCCCCAGGGAUAUUAGGAACUGAGGCUCAGGCGCUAUAGGUUUUGUGGUAGAUUAUUGAGAGUUCAAUUUUUUGUAAUGGCAAGGAGGAUGAGAGAUGGUGGCUUUUACCCACCAUCCUGCUAUUGUUCAAGACAAUUCAAGCUCGGUUUGUAGAUUGGCACAUAGCAAAUUUAGAAGUCUGAGAUUUGUCUCUCUUCAGUCCUGACCUCGAUACAUUUUGAGCCUACAAAUCUGUUUCUUGAUGCAAAAUUGUUUGCAGGAGGAAGUGGACUGGAUUUUUCAGCAUCUAUACAGUAAAUAGGGUCACCAUGUACACACAUCUCAGAGUAAAAUAGGAUCUUUAAUCAGAGUAAUGGAAUUGUUUUUACCAUGUACAUAUAUGUUCCCAUUUGAGCAUAGUUUAGAGAAAAUUAUAAUUGGGUGAUAAAUUUAAAGGUAGAUAGACAUGUUACAAGUUUGGUGACUGAAGCUUACUAUAGAUUCUAAUCAUUCCAAAUCAAUAAUGAAAUCGUAUUUUGGCACUAAAUGUUGUGAAAUAGCUACUCGUUGGCCACUGCCCAAUGCAUGCCCAAAUCAAUUCCCACCUACAUUCAAUCCCACAAAUCACAUAAACAUAAUACCCAGGCCCCAACAACUCAUUUUCAAAUAGAAACCCUCCUCAAGUUUUAACAAACAAAUAUAAUAUCAAACAUUCUGAAGCCGGAAUUAGAAUGUUAGGGUUCAUUGAAGCUUACGGGAAGUGGAGAGAUCCGAGCAAUGGUGAGAAAAAGAAAUAAAUUGAAAUCAAAUACUUCCAAUGGCGUCGGUGACUCACAGUGAUCGACAGAUUUUGAGUGAUUUCUCUGUAGUCGCGGGAUGAACUCUGCUGUUCGUGCUCUUUUCAAUUUUGAGGGAUUUAAGUUUAACUAUUUGGGCCGUUUCUGUAAAAGAUUGGCGGGCUUCGUAAAUUUUAAUUUUUUUACAUACACUACAAGCACUAAAAGCAUGCCGUAAAUUCUCAUUUAAUAUGGCGUGCAAAGGAUGUACGCCAUAAAUACUUUAAUUAAUUAAUCUUUUACGGCAUACAUAUAGCGCACGCCGUAAUUAGUCUAUUUUUACAACAUGCCAUAGAUGCACGCUGUAAAGGAAUGUCAUAAAAGGCUGUUUUUGUUGUAGUGGGAGCACUACCAUACUCCGACAAACAAAUUGAACGGGUAUCCUCACUAUCACAUUUUGCAACCUCAAUAGGGGACAUUUUCGUAUGACCAUAAACUACACAAUCAGGGGGUGGGUUUGGAUCGUGCAAUGCCACAUGCUACCAUGAGGUUAUCAUUUGAAGCAAAUUGAAAGUUGUUUAGCAAUACUACAAAUAAGUAUCGCAACAACAAUACUAGAUGUGCCCGUAAGAAUGGAAGCAGGCAAACAAAAAAGGCUAACCAAUUAGCAUUUGGAUCCCAAUUCUUGACAUAUAAAAUCAAUCCAGAAACUGAUGAAUUUCACCGAGAUCCUCAAAAUCAAUUUUCGGAUCUAGAUCUUUCUUCAACUGUUGAACUCCUAAAGCCAUCAUAGGGACCACAUUGUUGUACCUAACUUUGAUCAUCUUAAUCAUUUAGGUGAAUUCUAACUCAUCAUUCUUAGCCUUAAUAACUGGAAAGGAUCUAAGGUCACGGAAAGAAUUCAAAUACCAAUCUCUUACCUAGUAAGAGGACAAAUAAGAAAUCAACAUGUAUUUAAUCGUUAGUACAAUACAAUCUUUUCUCAAAAAAAUAGAAAAAAACAAUGAAACAUCAUGUAAUAGCUACCUCAACAUUGAGUAGAAUCAAGUACUUGGUCCAAUUGUGCAUCUAGAAUUCCCCACGCAUAAUUGUGCAAAUAAAUUAGACACGGUCAUACGAUAAAAAGAUGUAGAUGGAAGGUACACAUUGUACUUACCAACAAUGCACUGUCCAAUUCAUGCCAAAAGGGCAUAUAUCAUUUGAAAAUAAAAAACAUGCAAAUUAAAUUGAAGAACAUUCUUAUACAUAAAUCAUGAUUUGAAACUUCUCAUCCAUGACUAAACAAUUAAAUAUGAUCAAAACACAUUUAGAUAAACAAAAGGAUGCAUAAGCAGUCCGUUAAUCCACAUGGUCUGCUUUUAAUAUAAUUUCGCAACCGAAUCAGAAAACACGAUCAAAAACAUAAAUGGAUAAAAAGCACCCGUUUUAAAUUAAUCAAUCCGUAAUUCUCAAAAAUUAUCGAACAAGAUAAGAUGCGGAAAACAAAAUCCAAAUUAAAUAAAAAGGUAAUAUUGAAAACCCUGAAGGGAAAAUAUACGUUCAAAACAGCAGGAUUAUGGGACAAACCAUAGGAGAGCGACUCCAACUAAAUAGCCCGACGAGCGAUCCGAAUAGGUAACUCCUUGUGGAGGAAUUGAGCAGAAAUGAGCAAAUUUCGAUCGAUGGGUCGGGACCUAAAUUUCAUCAUGUAAUAGACGCUAACACCCAUCUGUUUCAUGGCACCCCAUUUCUGCACUUCCUGUAUUAGCCACUUGGAGAUUCCCUCCGCCGCCUUCUCAGCCGCCAUGAAACCAACCUCCAAUUGAAUUUUAUAUUCACCGGUGCACAAACAAGGAGUGAAUUGGAGGAUAUGUACAAUGGCUAAAUUGACAUGCUAGCAUUACAUAUGCAUGCACAAAAUAGUCAAUUAUUGUUUCUGUAAAUGUAGUUGUUAAAACACACGGAGGCAACCUUCAGAAGAGAGGGGGCAUAUGUUACAACCCAAUUUAUCUAGUCAAAAAUCAAGAGUUGAGUUUUCAAAGUCAAAGUUAAAUAGGACCUUAAUGGAGUGAAUUGUUUUAUUGGGGUUAUUUUACAAAUUGACAAUCCUUGAGGAUUUAACAUGGACAUCAUUUAAAUUUGAGGAUUUAUUUUACAAGAAUGGAAAGUUAAUGACUAGACUUUAUUUAAAACAUAAAAGGAGGGACUUGACUUGCAAUUAUUCAAUAAUUAUCCAUUAAAUAUCAUCUAUAUUACUCAUUUUCUCAUAUUUUGGGGGAAAAUGAGAGAAGGCUCGAGAGAACCUGAGAGAGAAGAAAAAAGAAGGGAAGAAAGAAGAUGAAGAAGAAGAAGAAGACGACAAAGAAGAAAGAAGAUUAUUUCAAGCUAGGGUUUUCAAGUUCUUCAAUUUCUCUUUGAUUUAGCAUGGUAUGUAUAAAGUAUAUUGUUUAAGGGAUAUGGACAAUUUGCUUUAAUUCAAUGUUUAGCAAGAAAUAUGUGUUAUUGAUAUGUAUUUGAUGUUAUAAAUAAAGAUAUAGCAAAGAAAUGUUUAUUUGGAUAUUGAUGUUGAAAAAGGUGGAAACUUUGGAAAUGGGUUUGUGAGAUAAAUGCAUAUUCUUUGAAAUUCUUGUGAUUAUAUGAUGCUAAACACUUAGAUUAAGGAUUUGAGGUUGAAAUUCUCCAAAUUUUCAGCCAUUUUCGAGCUAUUGUAGUAUACCAGAAAAGUGCUAUUUCUGUCCGUGUUUUCGAUGAUAGAUUUUAAUAUAUAGACAUUGGUGCUAGUUUCAAUAUUCUGGAAUUAUAGUGCUAGUUUUGCCAAUCAUAUAAUUUUGGUGGAUUUUUAGUAUUGGAACCAAAUUAAGUAUUGAAUAUUUGGGGUUUUGGUGUUAAAAUAAUUUAUAUGAAGGAGUACAUGUAGUGAUCUUAAUUGGGAUUAUGAAGUUGAAAAUAAAAUAUAUCAAGUCCCCAUUGGUAAAUUAAUAUUUCUAAUGGUAGGAAAAUACUCAAGACUCCUCUAUGAAGGGAUAUAAUUUAUUGUAGCGAGAGCGAGAUAACAUUCUUGGUAUUGAAAGUGAGAAGGCGAUGAGAAGAUCGAAACAAUGAUCAACUAUAACUUGGUGAAUGGAUAUAAAACUUAUUUUUUAGAAAUUAAUUAUUUAUUAAAUUUACAUUAGAUUAGAAAAUUUAUUAUUUCAGACAGUUGAUUUGACCACGUGAUUUUUAGAAUGAAAUGGAUUUAUAAUCAGUUACUUUUAAAGUUAAAAUCAGUUUAAUUAAAUCAUUUCACUACCAUGUUUUAUUCGAACUACAUGUUUCAGUAUAGUCAAAGUUAUUUUUUAAAAACCACCAGAAUGUACCCAGGUGAUUUUACUCGCUUUACAUUGGUGUGAAUAUGUUUCCAUAGUGCAUGAUCAGUUAUGGUGAUUUUACCCACUCUACACUAUUGUGAAUGUGUUUCCAUAGUGUUUGACCAAAAUUACAGAAUUUCAGCUCUGCGUGUGUAUGACCAGAAUUUAAGAAUUAUAGAUUUCAGAACUAAAUAGUUUUACCAUGUAUAUCAGUACUAACCGAUACAUGAGUAAGGUUAUUCCGGGUACCUUUUUGGUGUGAUUUUUUAGUAUUUUUACAACUUAUCAGAUUUCAGAUUAUAGAAUUCGGCCUAUUCAGUUCUCAGAUUAAAACUUUCAGCUUAUAGUAUUGAGCAGCAGCAAUAUUUCAUAGAUUUUCAUGGAUGUCAUAUUAUUUAUAUUCGUUGCAUUUUACAGUUACUUAUCUAGAAGAACAAAGAAUUUUAUAAUGUUUUCAUGUUUAAUUUUAAAAGUGUUACCAGAUUUCAGAAUUUCUAGAAGUUUUAGUAGUGCAAUAAUUUUCAGAAAAUAUGUAUAAAUGAGAAAAGUUUACUUAUUUGAAAAUUAUCCACUCACUGAGCUUUAAACUCAUAUAUUUUUUCUCCUUUUUCUUUAUUGACAGAUAGCAGCCGAUUUGAGCAGCUUUAGAGCAUGUUAAAUCACCGAAUUGAGCCACGCUUCGUAGGUUGUAUGACAUCCUUUAUCAGAUUAUACAGUAUGUGUUCUUUUGGAGUACAUGUAUCUUAAAUCAAAAAAAUUCAUCAUGGGCUCAUUACAUCUUUGACAUAUUUGGUAUAUUUGAGGCUUGUUGGUUGUAAAGCAAGUAAAUAUUGAAUGGCUAGCAUUUUAUUUGAAUAGUUUGUAUUAUGAGGUACUGAGGUACCCUGUUUUAUAUUAUAGGUAUUGAAUUGUGGAAACUUGGUUAUUGUCCAGGUGGUUUUAGUUCAUAUUUUAGGGAAAACUCUGUCAAAUUUUGUUAAAAAUAUUUUUCAGUCAAGCAAGUCAAGUUGUCUUGGUGGUAGGUCCAGCAUUUAACUGGUAUCUACCAUCAGAGCACUGUACGUGUCGGAUCUACUAGGAUGAUUCGGACGGGUCGUGUCAAUUGAUAUCAGAGCAUGGUUCAAUGGUUGUUAAGCUUAAGUAAUUCAUGAAUUAAUUUUUCAGAAUAGUAUGUCAUUAAGAUUGUUAGAUGUGGCGUGGUGGUAGAACUCACAGGCUCCAAUGUAGUAUUUGAAACUCAUGUUAACCCUUAUGACGAAGAUAUGGCAGCUAAGAAACAAAGACCUCUAAUGAUUUGAGCAUUUAAGGAAUUAUCGAUGGUAACGAGAGUUGUUAGACUCGUUAUGUUCGUCCAUGUUAUAUUUUCUCUAAUAUAUUAAUAAUUGCUCUAUAUAUCCAACAUGCAGCUAAGCAAAGAGUAUAACUUUUCUUAGUAGUGGAAUGCAAAAUCACAUCAUUUAGAUUUAUUGGGUUAUGAGCUUCUUUUAUGAUUAUUAGAGGGAAUGUGUUGUAGAUGUUUUGGAUGAUAAUAUAGUCAAAUGUUGAUAUAUGUAUAAUUGGUGAUAUUACUAGGUGAAAUCAUGAUUGUUUUUUACAUCUAAAUUAUUGUGGUAUCAUGAGAAUUAUUGGGAAUUUGUAAUCAUAUUUUGUAUAUGGAGGAAGAAGCGUGUAUUAGAAAAUCAAGAUGUGGAGAUAUGACAAGGAAUCUUGUUCAUGACAAAAAUAAUGAAACCAUAUCGAGUUUUGAUUCAUGAUGAUAAUAGUGUUAUUAAAUAUGUACCUUGCGAUUUUGAGUAAACUAAUGUGGUUGUGGUCAUCCUUUGUUGAUUUAGGAACAAUUAAGUAUUUAUGUUUGUAUUUCAACUGCUAUUGAAGGAAAUAUUAAAGGUUUAAUUACUCAGUUUGGGUGUAUGAAAAUAAGUUAUGAUGAAUGAAAAAAUGAGAGAAAAUAUUUCUUACAGCUUUAGAAAUGACCAGUAUGUAAGUAUAUCAGUUGCAAGGAUUUAAUGGUUGACAAUGUUAUAAGUUGUUGGGUACCCCAGCUGGCGAGUUAAGACCCUCCAUAAGGACGCAAUAUUUUUCAAGCUUGCUGUUCCAUCCAACGGUUCUUACUCAGAUAAUCCUUGGCUUAGCUUAGUUGAAUCAUCGUGGUUUUAGUAGAACGAAGGGUACGAAAUCAAUCUGAUUGAUUUUUCGAUCAAAAGUACUAGGUACAGNNNNGUAUGUAACCUACUCAAUAAGAGUGCAACAGUGAAUACAUAUCAUUUUGGAAUUAGAGUUUUAAUGAUUUUGUUGUUUAUCUAUCAAUAUACAUUCGAAGGAGUUGAGUACACAGUUACCUAAGUAUUGAAUCACAUGUAAGAUUGUAUGAUUUUUUUAUGUAUAUAUAGGAAAAUCUCUAGAUAUAAUUUGCAUGAUAAAUAAAAAGGGAAUGAUAUUAUGUGUAAUUUAUGACAAUCAUAUGAGAAAUCUUAAUUAUCUUGGGAAGCUAAAUGAUCAUUAGCAUCAUCGAAAAUUGUAGAGAUGAUAGGAAUUAAGGUGAUGUAUAUCUACAUGUAUAACAAGAAUCUCAUGGAGGAUAAACGAGGAUAUUUUAUUGAAUAGUGAUCGCUAGAGAACAAUGUGUUAUUAUGCAUGUUAUGCAUCGAGAAAAUUGACAUUUAUGUAGCUUUGAUCAUUUUGAUUAUUUAUGGAUUAUUUGAUUAUAAGAAGUGAUAAAUAUAUGAAUAAACUUCACAAAGACUACUUAUUGCUGGAAAAAUUGUUAUUAAAUGAAAAUAAUUAUUGGAUUUGUGCAUUUAUGUAAAUUGGGGAAAAUGACAUGAAUGAAGUGGGUCGAAGAAAUACAUUUUGAUUUUCAUUCUUGAAAUAUAGCAAGAGGAAAAUGCAUUGAAGAAAAGGAAACGAAAAGAGUAAUUAGUAUAUCACCUUUCACAUAUAAGCAUGUAUGGUUUGAAGAAUGAAAUGAUGCUAUGUAAAUUAUAGAAUAAGGAAAGAAGAAAAUAGUAAAGAACUAUAGAGUUGAAAUUGAUGGAGAUUGAGAAAUUAGAAUACGAAAUUUUGGUGGUCAAUAGAUGGCUGAAAAGUUCACGUAAUAAAUAUUAAGGUUAUUAUUUUGUAAUGUUAAGAAAAAUUAAUAUGAUUAGAUGUUUUAAGCCUACAAUAUAGCAAUAAAUGAUCAGAUUACAUGAUCAGGUGAAUAGCAAGUAAAUGAAAUUUAUGGUUGUCCUAUGACAUAUAAUGUGAUGAAAUUUUUGGGUUAUUUUAGAUUGUAUUUUUGGGUCUCACGAAUAAAGUAUUUCAUUCUUAUCAAGAUUUAUACACUAUGGAAUAUAUGGAUGAUAUGUUGGAUUGUUAAAGUCGAAGAUAAUCAUUAAAUGUAAAUUUUACUCACUGUGGAAUGAUAUCUUUUGGUUACAUUAUCUUCAUUAGAGCUCUUUAUGAUAUACAAUGACCUCUUUAUGGAAGAAGAAUAUAAAAUUAUCAUGGAUUAAAUGUUAUUAUUAUCUCUUCAAAGAAAGGAAGAGCACCAAAACUAUAUGGGUUUAGAAAUGUGAAAAGUUUUGUUAUCAGAUUAAAUUUUAAGGAAGUAUUUACACUUGUAUCUAAAUUUGAUGAGGGCUUCAUUUAUGAAAAUGAGUUAUGUUAGAAUUUAGAAAGUGUUCUAAAGUAAAAAAAGAUAAAUUAUGGAUUAUGCUCUAGGGUUACUUAAGAAGCAUGAUUAAAACAUGAUUUAGAGUGGAUUAUAUUGGGGUUGAAAUUAGGAGUUGCACUGUUAUCACAUUAUAAGAAAUCGAUACUUAUUGAUCACCAAAGUUAAGGUAUAUUUUUAAUUGAAAAGGGUUAAAAUUGAAAUUGUGUAUAUAUUAUCAUUUAGUGAUACAAAAUUAAAGGAAAAGAACACCAUAUUGAGCUCUAUCAAUUGUUGUUGGGGAUAGUUAGAAUUUUAGAAAAUCGUGAACAAUUGAAUUUUUGCAUAAAUUGUCAUGUUAGAAUUGGAUUAGUUACUCUCAAAUGUUUUUUAUUUUGGGGUUCCAAGUACAGAUAAUUGAGAUAAAAUGGUAUUUGAAUCAUUAUUGAUAGAUUGAUAAAGGUUACAAGAUUCUUUUCAAAUGAUAUAGUUAGUUCAUGAGAUAGAUUUGUUAAAUUAUAUUUAUAUAAGACUGUUAUUCAUACAGAGAGUCUGAGCAUUAUCUUUGGGUUUGUUGUAGAAAGCUAUAUAACUAAGCUCCAUUGUACAAUUUAUUUUAAUCGAAUAACAGCCACUAUGAAGACAAGUUUAGAAGAGAGGCUAUCAACUUUGGGUUUUAAUUAUAACAAAAGAUGAAGUUUUGAAGAAUGUGAAAAGUAUCUUAAGAAUCCAAAUUGGGAAAUAGCUGAAAUUUUUCUAAGAUUUGAUGAAAUGAAAAGCUGAGAAUAUCAUAUAUUGGCAUUUGAGACAUUAUCUAAACUUGAGUCCAAUUGUUCAAGGAUGGUGUUUAUAAUAGGUUUAUCUAGUAUUUAUGAAUGUAUUGUCUAUUCUACGGCUACUAAGUGGAUGUCAAAUUUACCUUAUGCUUUAAGAUUAUUAGCGAAGUUAAAAGAGAACUUAAUUUAGAAAAAGUCAAAUAAGAUGCAAGAUCUGAAAGAAUGAAAUUGUGUUUACUUAAGGUUGUUGGAGAAAUCAUUCAAUAAAAGAUGCCCUAUGGCAAGUGGAGAUCAAUUUUGUGCUCAAUAUUCUCAUCUAUUCAUUACCCAGUUAGUUGCUAGUUGAAUUUCAAGGACGAAAUUCUUUUAAGUAAGUAAGAUUGUUACAACCCAUUUUAUCUAGUCAAAAGUCAUAAGUUGAAUUUUCAAAGUCAAAUGAGGAUCUUAAUUAAGUAAAUUAUUUUAUUGGGGUUAUUUUACAAAUUACAAUCCUUGCGGGUUUAACAUGCACAUCAUUUAAAUUUGAGGAUUUAUUUUACAAGAAUGGAAAGUUAAUGACUAGACUUUAUUUAAAACAUAAAGUGAGGGACUUGACUUGCAAUUAUUCAAUAAUUAUCCAUUAAAUAUCAUCUAUAUUACCCAUUUUCUCAUAUUUUGGGGGAAAAUGAGAGAAGGCUCGAGAGAACUCGAGAAAGAAGAAAAGAGAAGGGAAGAAGAAGAAGAUGGUUUCAAGGUAGGGUUUUCAAGUUCUUCAAUUUCUCUUUGAUUUAGAAUGGUAAGUAUAAAGUAUAUUGAAUUAAAUUUUUAAAGGAUAUGGACAAUUUGCUUUAAUUGAAAGUUUAGCAAGAAAUAUGUGUUAUUGAUAUGUAUUUGAUGUUAUAAAUAAAGAUAUAGCAAAGAAAUAUUUAUUUGGAUAUUGAUGUUGAAGAAAGUAGAAAUUUUGAAAAUGUGUUUGUGAGAAAAAGGCAUAUUCUUUGAAAUUCUUGUGAUUAUAUGAUGCUAAACACUUAGAUUAAGGAUUCGAGGUUGAAAUUCUACAAUUUUUCAGCCAUUUUUGAGCUAUUGUAGUAUAGGCGCUAUUUUUGAAAAACUACUUAAAAAAGCGCUAUUUCUGUCCAUGUUUUCGAUGAUAGAUUUUAAUAUAUAGACAUUGGUGCUAGUUUCAAUAUUCUGGAAUUAUAGUGCUAGUUUUUCCAAUCAUAUAAUUUUGGUGGAUUUUUAGUAUUGGAACCAAAUUAAGUGUUGAAUAUUUAGCGUUUUGGUGUUAAAAUAAUUUAUAUGAAGGAGUAUAUGUAGUGACCUUAAUUGGGAUUAUGAAGUUGAAAAUAAAAUAUAUCAAGUCCCCAUUGGUAAAUUGAUAUUUCUAAUGGUAGGAAAAUACUUAAGACUCCUCUAUGAAGGGAUAUGAUUUAUUGUAGCAAGAGUAUGAUAACAUUCUUGGUAUUGAAAGUGAGGAGGCGACGAGAAGAUCGAAACAAUGAUCAACUAUGACUUGGUGAAUGGAUAUAAAACUUGUUUUUCAGAAAUUAAUUAUUUAUUAAAUUUACAUUAGAUUAGAAAAUUUAUUAUUUCAUACAGUUGAUUUAAAAGCAUGAUUUUUAGAAUGAAGUGGAUUUAUAAUUAGUUACUUUUAAAGUUAAAUUCUAUUUAAUUAAAUCAUUUCAUUAGCAUGUUUUAUUCGAAUUACAUGUUUUAGUAUAGCUAAAGUUAUUUUUUAAAAACCACCAGAAAAUACGUAGUUGAUUUUACUCGCUCUGCACUGGUGUGAAUGUGUUUCCACAGUGUAUGACCAGUUAUGGUGAUUUUACCCGCUCUGCACUAUUGUGAAUAUUUUUCAAUAGUGUAUGACCAUAAUUACAAAAUUUUAGUUCUGCGCGUAUGACUAGAAUUUAAGAAUUACAAAUUUCAGAAUUGAAUACCUUUACCAUGUAUAGAGGUACUAACCGAUAAAUGAGUAAGGUUAUUCAAGGAACCUUUUUUAGGAUUGUUGGUUGUAAAGCCAGUAAAUAUUGAAU